AGUGAACGCUGGCGGUAGGCCUAACACAUGCAAGUCGAACGGCAGCACAGUAAGAGCUUGCUCUUACGGGUGGCGAGUGGCGGACGGGUGAGGAAUACAUCGGAAUCUACUUUUUCGUGGGGGAUAACGUAGGGAAACUUACGCUAAUACCGCAUACGACCUACGGGUGAAAGAAGGGGAUCUUCGGACCUUGCGCGAUUGAAUGAGCCGAUGUCGGAUUAGUUAGUUGGCGGGGUAAAGGCCCACCAAGGCGACGAUCCGUAGCUGGUCUGAGAGGAUGAUCAGCCACACUGGAACUGCGACACGGUCCAGACUCCUACGGGAGGCAGCAGUGGGGAAUAUUGGACAAUGGGCGCAAGCCUGAUCCAGCCAUACCGCGUGGGUGAAGAAGGCCUUCGGGUUGUAAAGCCCUUUUGUUGGGAAAGAAAAGCAGCAGGUUAAUACCCCGCUGUUCUGACGGUACCCAAAGAGUAAGCACCGGCUAACUUCGUG
rnacentral:rRNA from 1 species